rnacentral:rRNA from 1 species
UACGGAGGGUGCAAGCGUUAUCCGGAUUUACUGGGUUUAAAGGGUGCGUAGGCGGACUUUUAAGUCAAAUGUGAAAGCUUGCAGCUUAACUGUAAGAUUGCGUUUGAUACUGGAGGUCUUGAAUAUGGUAGAAGUUGGCGGAAUAAAUCAUGUAGCGGUGAAAUGCUUAGAUAUGAUUUAGAACACCGAUUGCGAAGGCAGCUAGCUAUGUCAUAAUUGACGCUGAGGCACGAAAGCGUGGGGAUCAAACAGGAUUAGAUACCCUGGUAGUCCACGCCCUAAACGAUGAAUACUCGUUGUUGGCGAUAUACAGUCAGCGAUUAAGCGAAAGCGUUAAGUAUUCCACCUGGGGAGUACGUUCGCAAGAAUGAA